UCGACGACUCGGACUAUGGCGAGAAGUGGCAAACUGCUCAGUAACACGUAGCUAACCUACCCUCAGGACGGAGACAACCCCGGGAAACUGGGGUUAAUCCCUGAUAGGCGUGGAUUCCUGGAAUGGUGUCACGCCGAAACGUUAACACACCAUGUUUGUGUACACGCCUGAGGAUGGGGCUGCGGCCGAUCAGGCAGUUGGUGAGGUAACGGCUCACCAAACCUUUGACCGGUACGGGCCGUGAGAGCGGUAGCCCGGAGAUGGACACUGAGACAAGGAUCCAGGACCUACGGGUCGCAGCCGGUACGAAACCUCCGCAAUGCACGCAAGUGCGAUGGGGUUACCUCGAGUGCCGCCUGAAGAAGGCGGCUUUUCCAUUGUGUAAUGAGCCGUGGGAAUAAGGGGGGGGCAAGACUGGUGUCAGCCGCCGCGGUAACACCAGCCCCCCGAGUGGUGGGGAUGUUUAUUUGGCCUAAAACGUCCGUAGCCAGCUAGGUAAAUCUCUCGUUAAAUCCAGCGUCCUAAGCGUUGGGCUGCGAGAGAGACUGCCAAGCUAGAGGGUGGGAGAGGUCAGCGGUGUUUCUGGGGUAGGGGCGAAAUCCAUUGAUCCCAGGAGGACCACCAGUGGCGAGGGCUGCUGACUAGAACACGCCUGACGGUGAGGGACGAAAGCUGGGGUAGCGAAUCGGAUUAGAUACCCGAGUAGUCCCAGCCGUAAACGAUGCAGGCUAGGUGUUGGGUUGGCCACGU
rnacentral:rRNA from 1 species